AUUGAACGCUGGCGGCAUGCCUUACACAUGCAAGUCGAACGGCAGCGGGGACUUCGGUCCGCCGGCGAGUGGCGAACGGGUGAGUAAUGUAUCGGAACGUACCAUUCAGUGGGGGAUAACUAUCCGAAAGGAUAGCUAAUACCGCAUAUUCUGUGAGCAGGAAAGCAGGGGAUCGCAAGACCUUGCGCUGAUUGAGCGGCCGAUAUCAGAUUAGCUAGUUGGUGAGGUAACGGCUCACCAAGGCUACGAUCUGUAGCGGGUCUGAGAGGAUGAUCCGCCACACUGGGACUGAGACACGGCCCAGACUCCUACGGGAGGCAGCAGUGGGGAAUUUUGGACAAUGGGCGCAAGCCUGAUCCAGCCAUGCCGCGUGAGUGAAGAAGGCCUUCGGGUUGUAAAGCUCUUUCGGCCGGGAAGAAAUCGCAUCAGCUAAUACCUGGUGUGGAUGACGGUACCGGAAUAAGAAGCACCGGCUAACUACGUGCCAGCAGCCGCAGUAACAC
rnacentral:rRNA from 1 species